AGACUGCUGUGCUAGCAAUCAGCGAGACUCCGUGGGCGUAGGACCCUCCGAGCCAGGCAUCAGCUAUCAAAACUUAUGGGAAAUGGAAUUGAAGACAACUACUUCUAGAAUUGGUGCAUGGAAGCUUCUCAUAGGUGAUUAGCCACACUCUUCUUCUGUCAACCUGGUGCAGAAAAGCUUGAAGACCUUGGAAAUCACAUAUUGAUGAUGGAGGAGAUACAAGAAUGAAGGACCCUGGGUUCCUGAAUCAACACUCUAAGAAGAGACUCCUUGAAAUCAAGAGCACUCAUUUUGACAUUGCAAACGGAAAAAUUCACUUCUAUCAGGUGUCAUUAGUUCCUUGCUAGAAUUUCUUUGGUGUCCUUUCUGCAUUUCAAACUCACAAAGGUUCUGUGAAAAGCAAUAUGUUCCCCAGUGGAGCUUAAAGUCUGGUGCAGAAAGCAGACAUUUAACAGGGGACUGAUCGGAGUCAAACCAUAUGCUGUGGCUUUUGCUCCAUGGAAAUCUCAACUAUACUGCAAGAAUAAUUAUUCCUACUUAAUGAAGUUACAGAAGAGAAUGUGGUGCUGGACGGUACUGACUGCAUGGGGAGAGGCCAUACCACAGAAACCUCAAUCUGCCUGAGCCGUGACUCUGAGAGCUGGAGUACCACUGGACAAGGAGAGUAUGAGAGGAAAAAGCAGCUGACAAACAUACUAAGAAGAAAACAUCUGAAAUUUUAAUGAAUUUUUAAAGAUUAAAUACUGUUGAUAUCUGCUUUCCAAUAUUGCAGCAGUUUUCAAAACUGGAUAUUCCAAACACUUUGAAGAAUUUUAGCCACUUCCUGUUCUUGUCCAGCCCUCGGUUUAGAGAGUUAAUAUUUGUGCACAAGCCACAAGGAUGGGCUCUGGGGAUGGACGAUCCAGCCAUACUCUCUCCAUGGAGCCUAGUGCUGCUGAUAUAUGGAGCCUCACUUCUCUCUUGUGGCUAGAACCACUACUGCCAUCUCUACUGCAUCUCACCAUGGCUCCUAAUCUGGACCCAGGUGCCACCUGGUUUUCUUGGGACCCCAGAAUACCCCCUGAACUGGCUGAAGCCUAUACCUGUGUGAUGGGGCACCAGGCCAAUUGCUUAAAGCCUAAGGCUCAAAAUCCUGAGCCUGCACUUGCAUGGACAUCCUGAGGCCAAUCUCCACCACUUACUGGCUUGCUCUAUAUCUCAUAGACUUUACUUGUAAUUCAA
rnacentral:lncRNA from 1 species